rnacentral:lncRNA from 1 species
AUGCUGGAAUUAAAUUUUGUGUGCCCUUGUUAUGGACUGGAACGUAAUCAAUCUUUGAUUUUUUGUUUUAUUUUUGUUCCAGCUGUGAUAUUCUUUAUUUUAAUGUACAUUUAUUAUGUACUAAACCUAGGAUGUUCCAUAAAUAGAAAGAACUGUUGCUGUUGCAAAUGCAAUUGGUGUGGUUGGAAUUUGUGCAUGCACUGCUUUGUUCCCCCUAUAGUAUGGAUUAUAUUAAUGUUGCUUGAUGGCCGGUACAUAGCUUGUGCAUUCACAGACUGGUCAGGCCAUUAUGAAGUUGCAGAUGGUGGUGGACUGAUGAGAUGGUGCAAAUCAGACCAUAACACAGAUGAGACGUUAAGACGUACUGAGGAAUUGUACACAACGUCUCAGUGGUAUGGAUUCGGGGGCUGCUUUGUCCUUGGUCUGAUCUUGUGCACUGGCUACUGUUGCUGUUAUGAACCAAGGGGCCAGAAUCCCAACCACCAGGAUCCAGAGCAACAGGAUGGGGAAAGAGUUGGGGAAGAAAUGCGUCAAAUUUCCCCGCCUUGAUAUUAUGGAAAAAGCCUCUACCAAUUUUGGGUGGCAGACAAAUGCCAGUAAACGGUAGAAAACCAAAGAAGAAUCCCCUCACUACCAUUCCCUGCUUUGUCCAGUAUUAUUAUUAUGUGAACACCACGGGCUGAAUGCAGAUUCAUGAAACUGGAUAUAGCGUAUUUGUACUAUAUGCUCAUUUUUUUUAAAGCCUUUAAGUUUGUGUGUAUAACUCAUAUAAUCAUACCAAAUUAUAGCUCGUAGAACAUAAAACAAAUCAUAGUUUGUAGAAAUGUUGAUCGGUUUGGAUGUUUUCUUUUACUCAUAUUAUUCUAGUUUUCAGUUGACUGAAAUGUUAGACUUAAUGUUGCCUAUUUUUAUUAAGUGGUAAAUGAAAAUGCAGUUCUGACUUCAUCUCCCUGGGAACUGAAGGUCACAGACAUACUAGAUAAAAACAUAUUUGGACAUUUUGACUCCACUGAAAGUUGGCAUUAGUAUUUUUUAACCUCAGGUUUUUACUUUAACAAAGUUUUAGGAGGAAGCGCACUCUUUUGUGUGUAUGUCUAUAACAGUACCAAUUAUGAUUUAUGAAUGCACCUUGAUUGUGUAAAUUGAAUGUAACCAUCGCCUGUUUGCUUCUUGCUCCAAUAAAAUGCUAAAAGACA